GGAUAUUCAGAGUUUUCCCACUUUCGUGAAGGCCCUGCACUCUUAAUCCCCACAAAUGUGGAAGGCUGAAAGUAGCAAAAUCUCAGGGCAGCUUAAAUGAACUUCUGACCUGAUGAAAUAAACAGUAUAAUUAAAUAGUUUUAGUUUCUUUGACCGUUCAUAUAUGAUAGUGGUUGAAAAACAGCAUUGUUUUUACUUUGAUUUCUGCCUUUCUUGUAUAUUUAUACAGUAGUUUUGUAUUUGAUUACUUUUACUGCUGAGAAGUUCAUCUUUGAGUAUGCUGUUUACCUGUAACAUUAAAAAGCUAUUUUGUUCCUUUUUUUUUCUUUUGUGGCUUGUAUACAAUAUUUUUUAUUCUUGCAUAUGUUCAAACUCUAUGUGCUGGAGCUUCCACGUCUUUCUAAGAUGUCAAAAGCCCCCAAUGACUUUUUCUUCGUUUUUUUUCCUCUGGAGGCAAGAGCUCUGUAAUGGAGUCUUGUAAUUUUAAUGUUAGAUGUAGCACAGUGAGUUUUAAAGAAUCAGAUUUUGAAAUUUUAAUAUAAUGUGCAAGUUUUUUAGGAAGUUGUGGAUUAUAUGUUACCAAAUAAACUAAAACAUAUGGCUGAAAUGUCCGUUGAUCACUAAGAAGAUAUUUGUGAAGAGGAUGAAUUGAGUUUAAUGCAUAUCAAAGUCAAUCCCAUACCUUAUUUUUGUGACUUAUUACUAGGUUGGGUGAAAUCAAGGAUGAAACAUAAAGGCUUCUCAACAACUGGUUGUUUCAUUUUUUUUUCACUGAAAAUCAUUAUGGACUUAACUUAUGCAUUGACAGUGUCUUUUUAAUUGUUUAAGCCACUUUGAAUCCCAAACUGGAAAAAGGGCAGAAUAGAAAUAUAAUAAUAAUAGUAGUAGCAGCAGAAUCAUCUGUAAACAGCUUUUGGAAAUUCAGAAAACAACAUCAGUUUGAAGUAUUUAUAUUUUAGUGUGGUCAAUGUGCUGUCAGUGAUCUGUUUUGAGUAGAAUUUUUCCAGUGUAACUUUCAAUACAAUUCAUCUUGAAGAGCUGUUCUGACUGCUGUGACAAAAUAUUAAGAUGAUCAAGGUUUUUUUUUUCUUUUGAAUAAUGGCUAACAGAAAAACUUUAAAGUGUUCAAUCCAUUUAAAAGACUAUCCUAUUCAGACUUUGAUCUUUGGAUGAAUGUUACAUAGUAACAUUUUUGGAGCAUAUCGGGAGUAAAAUUUAGCUGUCCAAACUAUCUACAAUUACUUGUAACAGGUUCUGAAAAUUACAUAUCUUGUCUUCUUGAUAUUAGCUCAUGUAUAGAAACAGAUUGGUAACUAUGUUUCAGAAGAUAAUGGACCAAAAUGGUUUCUCUUUUUUCAUUUCCAUUCCUUGAACACUUAGGAUAUCUGUGACUGAAACAGAGAUGAUAAUUUAAAGUUCAAAAUUUACCAUGCCAGAAGCAGUAAUGUUGGGUAUCAUGAUAUCAUGCUAUAAAGAAGCUGCAUUAGUUUUGUUUAUCAGUUGACUUCCAUUUAUCGUUGCAUUGAACUUUGUGGCUGACACGUUAUCUAAAUUGUCUGAAGGCUUUCCCUGGACUAUAUAAUCCAUUUUUUGCUCUUUUAAUAAUGGAUGUUAGAAAUUGGAAAAGCAUUUCAGACCCAGAAGCAAUUUUCUGCGUAGAAUUUAAAAGAUGAAUGACCAGUUUUUCGAUCAAUAAUUUUCUAUCAAACUAUCUGAAUGAAACCAAAGAUCUGCUUUUCUUAAACUGAAGAAUUCAAGAGUGUGUUAUUAAAGUGCUCUUACUGUUUUAAUCAAGGUGUCAAAACAUUAAACAUAGGCACUUGAUUUUGAAAAAAAAGGAAUGGAGUAUACUGACUUGCUGCUCUUUUGAAUUCUCUCUUUUAUAAUACCUUACUUCUAACAUGGAGACUACUUUUUUGUAUUUUUUAAAAUCCAGAUCUGUUUUGUUGAUUGAAUUUAUUUUAGUUUCUCACCUUUCCUGUCACUCUUCUCAACUUUUUAGGGAGGAAAAAAUCACCUAGCAAUUUUCAUCAAAUGGCACAAAAUCUUGAUUUUGGGGGAGUUCAGCUCCUAGGAUUGUAGGAGCUGAAAUUGUGCAAAAAUCAAGACUUUGUGUAUGCCAUCCCCAAAAGUCAGACUAGCACAAAUCAAUCAUUGCGUAUGAAUAACACUAGGUUUGAGCUUAAAUUAAUCUUGUAUUCCUUGAAAUUAUGUUUUUUCCAUAUGCUUUAGCUUUUGCAGAAAAUCACGAAGGCAAUGCUUUUUUCUUUUUCAAUAGAAGUUUGCCUUUGAUGUCAUUUAUCUGCAGAAACUAUACCCAUGGGAACACUUUUG